rnacentral:rRNA from 1 species
GUGAACGCUGGCGGUAGCCCUAACACAUGCAAGUCGAACGGCAGCACAGUAAGAGCUUGCUCUUACGGGUGGCGAGUGGCGGACGGGUGAGGAAUACAUCGGAAUCUACUUUUUCGUGGGGGAUAACGUAGGGAAACUUACGCUAAUACCGCAUACGACCUACGGGUGAAAGCAGGGGAUCUUCGGACCUUGCGCGAUUGAAUGAGCCGAUGUCGGAUUAGCUAGUUGGCGGGGUAAAGGCCCACCAAGGCGACGAUCCGUAGCUGGUCUGAGAGGAUGAUCAGCCACACUGGAACUGAGACACGGUCCAGACUCCUACGGGAGGCAGCAGUGGGGAAUAUUGGACAAUGGGCGCAAGCCUGAUCCAGCCAUACCGCGUGGGUGAAGAAGGCCUUCGGGUUGUAAAGCCCUUUUGUUGGGAAAGAAAAGCAGCAGGUUAAUACCCCGCUGUUCUGACGGUACCCAAAGAAUAAGCACCGGCUAACUUCGUG